GCCGCGUGAGUGAAGAAGGCCUUCGGGUUGUAAAGCUCUUUCGGCCGGGAAGAAAUCGCAUUCUCUAACAUAGGAUGUGGAUGACGGUACCGGACUAAGAAGCACCGGCUAACUACGUGCCAGCAGCCGCGGUAAUACGUAGGGUGCGAGCGUUAAUCGGAAUUACUGGGCGUAAAGCGUGCGCAGGCGGUUUUGUAAGACAGAUGUGAAAUCCCCGGGCUCAACCUGGGAACUGCGUUUGUGACUGCAAGGCUAGAGUACGGCAGAGGGGGGUGGAAUUCCACGUGUAGCAGUGAAAUGCGUAGAGAUGUGGAGGAACACCGAUGGCGAAGGCAGCCCCCUGGGCCUGUACUGACGCUCAUGCACGAAAGCGUGGGGAGCAAACAGGAUUAGAUACCCUGGUAGUCCACGCCCUAAACGAUGUCGACUAGUCGUUCGGAGCAGCAAUGCACUGAGUGACGCAGCUAACGCGUGAAGUCGACCGCCUGGGGAGUACGGCCGCAAGGUUAAAACUCAAAGGAAUU
rnacentral:rRNA from 1 species